rnacentral:rRNA from 1 species
AGGUAGUAAAAAUCUUUUAUUGAAACCUAUGCAUUAAUGGCGGCUUUUUCCUUAAUUAGAGGAACUUGCUUGUAUCGAUAAUCCCCGCUCAUUUUUACUAUUUUUAUAAGUCUGUAUACCGCCGUCAAAGAAAAUAUUAUAUAAUAUUUUCAAAACUACAUUAAACAAUUCAGGUCAAGGUGCAACCAAUAUAAUAGGAAAAGCAAGUUACACAUAUGUCUUAAAUUAUAGAUUCAUUUCGAAAGAAAUGAUGAAACAGGAUUUAAUUAUAAAAAUUUUUUAAUAUGAAAAUUUGAACUAAGAAAGAAAAGUGC